rnacentral:rRNA from 1 species
AGUGAACGCUGGCGGUAGGCCUAACACAUGCAAGUCGAACGGCAGCACAGUAAGAGCUUGCUCUUACGGGUGGCGAGUGGCGGACGGGUGAGGAAUACAUCGGAAUCUACUUUUUCGUGGGGGAUAACGUAGGGAAACUUACGCUAAUACCGCAUACGACCUACGGGUGAAAGCAGGGGAUCUUCGGACCUUGCGCGAUUGAAUGAGCCGAUGUCGGAUUAGCUAGUUGGGGGGGUAAAGGCCCACCAAGGCGACGAUCCGUAGCUGGUCUGAGAGGAUGAUCAGCCACACUGGAGCUGAGACACGGUCCAGACUCCUACGGGAGGCAGCAGUGGGGAAUAUUGGACAAUGGGCGCAAGCCUGAUCCAGCCAGACCGCGUGGGUGAAGAAGGCCUUCGGGUUGUAAAGCCCUUUUGUUGGGAAAGAAAAGCAGCAGGUUAAUACCCCGCUGUUCUGACGGUACCCAAUGAAUAAGCACCGGCUAACUUCGUG